ACUAUUUAAUCGUUAAUUUAAACGGGUUGGAUGUGAUGUAAACACGAAAAACGCCCUUUGACCAAAUAGAACGUUAAAGUAGUCAGAUGAUCCUACCAAACUAUGUAGCAGGGAGAUUGAAACAUUGUACUACCAACACCCUACUACCCGGCCACAGUGGAAUGCACCGGACGCUUUUUCCCACCCCCGGAGAGCUAUGGACCAAUCGAAACCCAGCGUCCUGGAGCCCCUGUAGAACGCUGAACCAAUAGCGGACCACCUCAGCCUCUGUACCGCCGACCUCAAAGCCGGCCCACUGGAGGUGCACCGUGGCAACCAGGUGACGGAUGCGCCCCAGAGUUCCGAGCUCUGCCCAGUUUUGCAGAACCCUCCACUCAGCACUCAGCAGUUUUCCUGAAAAUUGAGAUCCCACUUACUAGUUUAUAAGAGACAAAGCUGUAUGAUGGGUCUGGAACUAAAGUUGAUGGGGAUGUGUUUGAGAAGGUGGUGAAACUGACAGUGUUUUCAAGCUCACACUGAACAAUGAUGCUAAAGAAUCUUCCCUGAUGAGUCCUGUCUCUGCCAGUUCUGUGAUGGGUGGUUCAGACCACGAGUCGGUUGAUACAAUCAUUUUGAGUGAGGAUGGAAGCCCCUCACGAAAGUGUCAAAGAUCUGAUGACGAAGCAAAAAAUCUAAUAGAGAGCAUACUGAAGAAAAAGCCAGGUGGAGAGGUUGUCAUCAAGGAAUACUCAAACUAAAAGCCUGCCUGACUGACUGCACCAGACGAAAGAUGAUCAACAUUCUUGUUUCGGCGAUGACAGAGACUCAUGGGACAUCACCACCGCGCAGUGUGAGAGAAACGUUUGCACCCUACACUGAAAAUGGAUAUGCAAGUAUACAUUAUGACUGAUAAAGGGCAUCUGCGUUUAAUUCAUCUGGUAUGGUAUCUGAGCAAAUGGGACUUGGUUAUUUGUUUUUUCUUUCAAGAUUAUUAACCAUGUUCAUUUUCAUAAGGAACAUUAUUACGACCCUAAUAGUGGAGAAGGGUACCUCUCGUAUAGAAUCAAAACCAUUCAGAGGAAUUUGGUUUCAUCAGAGAAACGGCCCACUCAACUAUACUCUGGAGGGCCUACUGCUGAGAGGGAGUCCAAGCCAUCCACUUUGGCUACCCUGAGUGAAGACCAGUGCCGAGAGGCCAUUUCUCUUAUGAAGCAUUCUUCUGAUGAAGAAACAGAAGAUGAGAUUGACCUUUGAGUACAGGAACAUGACCCACAACCCAAGUAAAUGCUCCACCAUCCUAUCCGAAUUUCCACGCUUUCUGGAUGUGAAGGGCUUGGUAAGACUUGUUUCAGAUUGAACAGGAUUGUGUGCUGCUGUUUGGAGUGGGAACAUCAGCCAAGGUUUUGGAGAGGUGGCCAACUACAUUCAAGCAAAAGAUCAUCAUGCUAAGCAAGGCCCUAAGCAAGGCCACUCAGGGAGCUGAACUUCAGGAGCUGAUCCAGAUGGCAGAAUCUGCAGUUGAUGAGGGAACUGACAUGAAUGCUUACGGAUGGGAAGGUGACCUUUCCUCCAUCCUUCUCCUGCUCCAUUUGAUUCCUCCUUCAUCACAAGGCCGCAAAAGACCAGGCAAGAUGUGUGCAUCUCAAGCUGAACAGCAUCUUGUGAUAUUCUAAAAGGCAGGAACCAGUAUCCAGGAGCACCUUGAUGCGAUUGACCAGAGCCGCCAACCAUAUCUUCUUGCAGUCGGGACCAGGAAGAGCAGCAUCCAUGCUUACUUCAUCAUCCUGGACAAGAGCGCCUUGCAAGUCAACGAGCGCUCUUGGUGCUUCGAUGAGCUUUUCAAGACUCACUUUGUUUUUGGUACUGCUUACAAUGCAAUGCUGCGCAACAUGUACACCUUCAUACAGACAACUGUGUACAUCAUAGACAUUGGGAAGGUUAAGGAGACUCCAAGGGUUGCUGAGCUCAGAGCUAGACCUCUGCACUAAUGCUGAUAUGUUUUGUUUGCCAUGCAAGUCAUGGAAGUACCAACUUGCUCGUAAGGCAUCUCAAGUUGAUGCAUGGAAUGUGCCCAGUUAGAACUCUUAGUUAGAAUAAAAUGUGGUCAAGCAGAUUGUUGUUGUGUAUUUGGUUGUCGUGUAUUUUCAGACUUUAGGAAGCAUUUGAACAGGGCACAAUCCCGAGACUGUCAAAUGUUGUUAAACGCUAACUUGAAUGCUAACUUGACAGCUGUUGAUAAUUAGCCAAGUAAUGCUGAUUUUCCUUCAAAUUCUAGUUGUAACCAUGUACCAAUAUCUAACAAGAACACACUUGAUAUGUGUGUGUCUGCUAUUGCACAGCUGCAGGUAUAGGUCAGACUGUAAAUAGUUUUGUAUCUUCCAUGGAAGAAGCAGUUCAAGAGAUACAGGGUCAAGCUAAUGCGACCGCUCUUACAUGUAUAUCUUCAAAAGACACACAAAUUGUCAGAGAAAUACAACAUUAUUUUCAGGAUAUUGAAAAUCCUUUCACAUUGUUGAAUUCAGUAUCAAAACGAAGUGCUUAUUUUAUACAAAAAUGGGGAACAAGUCAUCCAGUUGAGAGUCCUUGGUGUUAGAUUUGACAAUAGAAGAAACAACACUACUGGAACUUAUGAUCAAAUGGUCAUAACUGAUCCAUUUUCUUACAUUCCAAUUCUCCAGACAUUGCAGUUCAUUUUGAAGAACCCAAAUACAAGUGGCAUGUUUAACUCGGGGGACAAUUUAAAAAUUGAGUUUACUUUGAUUUGAAAGCUGGACUAUAUAUAGCCACUAUUGUAAAGUGGCUGUUCCACUGGAUGUCAGAAGGUGAAUUCACCAAUUUGUAAGUCGCUCUGGAUAAGAGCGUCUGCUAAAUGACUUAAAUGUAAAUGUAAAUGUAAGAGACAUCCUCUCUUUUCUAAAGAGUUGAAUUUCCAAUGCAUUUAUGAUGACUGACACUGCUAAUCCAUUGGGAUCAGAAAAGUGAAUUCACAAGUUGGGAGGUACAUACUUUACUUUGAGAAAUUUUACCCCAAAGUUUAAUUCAAUUUUGGUAAAUAUUCACUUAUGUGCAGUCUUCCAUACCCAGGACCUUAAACGUAGGGAUUUGAUUCCAUUCUUGAGCAAAUAGUUAGCGAUUUGAAAGUGCUUGAGACUGAAGGUAUUGAAGUUCCCUUCUUCGGUGGUUGUAUACAUGGCAGUAUUGUCCAAGUAACUGGAGAUAAUCUUGGUAUAUGUUGCCGGUUUGGUUUUGUGGAAUCAUUUAGUGCUCGUUGUUGUUGCCGUUUUUGCCUCACUGAGAAAGUGGAUUUUCAAACUGUGUUCUCUGAGGAUGACCCAAGAGUGACUUUACGAACAAAACACAUGCAACUCAGACCAUUGUCAAACUAUUCAGUCAAACCCAACACGGUGUGAAGCAUGCUUGCUUAUUGAACUCUCUCCAGUACUUCAAUACUACAGACAGCUUUUCUGUUGAUAUAAUGCAUGACAUUUUAGGAGUUGCACAAUUUGAGGUAAAACUUGUGUUACAGCAUAUACAAUCCAACUUUGUGACUGCUAAAGAUGUGCACGGAAGAGUUCAUUCAUUUAACUAUGGCUAUCGUCCACCUGCACUCAAAUUGGAUGAUGGGAGCAAUGAUUUGGGUCUAAAUGCUAUUCAGUCUUGGUGUCUUCUCUGUAAUUUGCCAUUGAUAUUUGGUGAUCUGGUACAGAAAUAUGAUAAAUACUGGCAGCUGCUUCUGUUACUACUACAAAUUGUAAAUAGUGUUUUCUCCUGUACUAACAGAGGGCAUGACUAUCUAUCUGAAGCACUUAAUUGCUGAACAUCUUAGGCUUUUCAAGUAUUUGUUUCCUGAUAGAAAUCUGUUACCGAAACACCAAUUCAUGAUACAUUAUCGUCGUUGUUUAAGGAACAUCGGGCCCAUUCUUCAUUCAUGCUGUAUGCGCUACGAGGCAAAACAUUAUUUCUUUAAAAAGCAACUGAAGUGUUUUAAGAAUGUCACUAUGACCUUAAUCAAGAAACACAAAUGACAUGGCAUAUAACUGGGAAACAUUGAGCCAGGAUGGACUAGCUAUAGGUUCAGGAAAGAUGUCACGGCUCAAUGACGUGAAAGAAAUCCAUGAGAUUGCUGCCAAGUUGAAUGUCUCAGUGCGCACACAUGUUUUGUCAGUUAAAUGGGUAAAGCCCCAUGGUACAGAAUAUCAUCUUGAUUUGGUCAUAUGUGGUGAAGUAGUCAUUGAAAUGCCACUAUUUUACAAAAUUAAGGCUAUUCUGAAAGAGGAAAAUGUUUUUUAGGUUGGGUCAGCUCUUGAAACCUUAUGUUUUGAUGAUCAUUUGCAUGCAUUCAAAGUUUUGAAGCAAAGUCCACCAUGCAAAGUAUUUCAUGUAAAUAACAUGUACCACAAACCUUUUCAUUUGCUCAUGUCAUAUGGAGCAAGUGAUUUUUUUGACAACAUUGUCCCCUACUGUCACUUGAUAACAGUUUAAGCCAGGGCUGAGACUUAUGGUUAGGUUGUGAGAAACAUGUUUUUAAUGUAAAUGUCAGCAUUUUCCAACAAACCUAUUGAUUUGCUCAUGUCAUAUGGAGCAAGGGACUCUUGACUACAUUCUACUGUCACUUGAUAGUUUAAGGCAGGGCUGGGACUUGUGGUUUGGUCAUAAUAAACAUAAUUGAAUGUUGAAACAGCUUUGCUUGAGUUUAUUGUGAAAUUCCAAGUGCUUUUCAAAAAUACCUUUUGCACUC